GGUGCUGUGGCUCAGUGGUAUAAUGUUUGCCUGGCAUGCAUGAGGCUCUGGGUUCGAUUCCCUAGCACCA
rnacentral:tRNA from 1 species